GGCACCAUGGCCGAAUGGCCAAGGCGACGGGGUCUGUUCGACUGAAGAAUUUCUUAAUUCAUUUACCUCGUUGAUGCAGGUUCAAUUCCUGCUUGUGUUG